UUUACACCUAUUUACAUGGACACCUUGGGCCAAUAGAAAUCAUUUCCAUUUGAAGACAAGGCAAGGGGUGAAAAGGCUCAGCAACCGGAAUUGAAGUGUGAUGGUACCCAGUAACAGUGUGUGUGAAGCGGAAUACCCCACCACCUGGCUGUGUAGGGAACUGCAGCCGACCAGGGGAUACAAAGCUACAUCAGCACUACACCCACAUGAUUCUGGAGAUCAUAUGGAUCCCAGAGGUUGAUCCUACCCCAGUGAUAAAGUUCUGGUAUAUCCUGGCAAUAUGCCUAAUUUUCCGGUCCUGGACAGGUAGCAUACCAUUUUCUGGUACAGUGUAACAUAUGUGGAUUUUCCAACAUUGACGUCCACCACAAGCUUUUGCAGUAAUUUUGAGCGGCGUGCCACUCUCGGGAAAGUCCAACACUACUUCGCCACUGCCUUGCCACCCACAAAGCUGGCAAAAGGAGGUCAUGUGAUUAUAACUAACCUCCAGUGAACCAAAGGAUGGCUAAUUCCUAGUGUCUAAAAGCAGCAUUGAUCCCUUUCCAAUGAAUGAUCUUUGCAUUCAGAAAAAAACAAGCACUUUCUACAGGAAAGAGGUCAUUUGCAAAAAGUCUGGACAUGAAAGACUUUCAGACACAAUAUGGAGUUUUUCAUGUUGAAAUAAAAAGGUACUGACUUAGAAUAAUAAAAUAUCUCAAAUGUAUUUCUUUUUAUAC